GACGAACGCUGGCGGCGUGCUUAACACAUGCAAGUCGAACGGUGAACCUCUUCGGAGGGGAUCAGUGGCGAUCGGGUGCGUAAGACGUGGGCAACCUGCCCGCGUCUCUGGGAUAACUCCAAGAAAUUGGGGCUAAUACCGGACGGUCACCGCUUCUCGCAAGGGUGGGGGUGAAAAGGUUUUCCCGCUGGGGAUGGGCACGCGGCGGAUGAGCUUGUUGGUGGGGUAGUGGCAUACCAAGGCGACGACGGGUAGGCGACCUGAGGGGGUGGCCGGCGACCCUACGCCUGCGACACGGCCCAGUCUCCAACGUUAGGCAACGGUGGAGAGUGUUACGCAGCAGGCCGGAGCGUGUCGCGACGGCGCCGCGUGGGGGAAGCCGGCCUUCGAGUUGUGAACCACUUUCAGCUGGUACGGGGCGCAAGUGACGGUACCUGAAGAAGAAGCCCCGGCUAACUACGUG
rnacentral:rRNA from 1 species